rnacentral:rRNA from 1 species
CCUACGGGUGGCAGCAGUGGGGAAUAUUGCGCAAUGGGGGCAACCCUGACGCAGCAACGCCGCGUGAUUGAAGAAGGCCUUCGGGUUGUAAAGAUCUUUAAUCAGGGACGAAAAAUGACGGUACCUGAAGAAUAAGCUCCGGCUAACUACGUGCCAGCAGCCGCGGUAAUACGUAGGGAGCAAGCGUUAUCCGGAUUUACUGGGUGUAAAGGGAGCGUAGACGGCGCGGCAAGUCUGAAGUGAAAGGCAGGGGCUUAACCCCUGAACUGCUUUGGAAACUGCCAUGCUAGAGUGCUGGAGAGGUAAGUGGAAUUCCUAGUGUAGCGGUGAAAUGCGUAGAUAUUAGGAGGAACACCAGUGGCGAAGGCGGCUUACUGGACAGUAACUGACGUUGAGGCUCGAAAGCGUGGGGAGCAAACAGGAUUAGAUACCCGUGUAGUC